rnacentral:rRNA from 1 species
AAUUAACGCUGGCAGUGUGCAUAAUACAUGCAAGUCGAGCGGAGUAUGCCCGCAAGGGUAUGCUCAGCGGCAGACGGGUGAGUAACACGUGAGAAAUCUGCCUUCAAGAAGGGGAUAACGCGCCGAAAAGGCACGCUAAUACCCUGUACUAUCCCUAGAGGACAUCCUCAGGGGAUGAAAGCCUUCGGGCGCUUGAAGAGGAUCUUGCGGCCUAUCAGCUAGUUGGCGGGGUAAUGGCCCACCAAGGCUACGACGGGUAACCGGACUGAAAGGUCGAACGGUCACAGGGGCAC